GUGUACAAUAUUUAUAUAGACAAUUUUUUAUAAAUUUUAACAUGGUUAUUGGCGAAAAAAUUACGUGCAUUUUUUGGAUUCUUAGAACUGCCUGUUAUUACAUUGGAACGCUUUACGUGUUCGAAAUCGAGCGGAGUGAAGGAGAUGAAUCGCGAUGCAACAUCAUAGCCAAAAUUGGAUUAUUCCGAUAAGCAAAUGGGCUUCAUGAACGUGAAUCGACCGUCAUGUCAUAGAUUGUUAUUGGAAAAUAUAUCAAGUAAUCAAGAAGCUAUCAGGAUCUGGAAAAUACGAAGAUGAAUCAGACGAGGAAUUACUUGAUGUUUGGAAAAUAUACGAAUGAUAAUUCUGACAUAAAAAUCAAGGAAUUCUAGGAAGUGGACGAACCUGUUUCAAUGCCGGAUUAUGCGAGGAUGUUAAUUUUCUGUUAACUCGAUGUAAAAUCAAAAAAAUCACUCGGUUUAAAGAAUCUUAUACAAGUGUGAAAUUUUAUACGGUAUGAUGCGGAAUCAGGAAGUUACGGAAAAUAUCAAUUAAACCUUGUAACUUGAUCGAUGAAAUUAUCGCAUGAGAGCGUUUAAUUGUGAUUAUAGAGAUUAGCGGAUAAAAUGAUAGGUUUUCCAAGUGAUUGAUUCGAUCUUAUCGGCAAAUAUUAAUUUCUAUAUUAUAAAUUCGAUCUUUAGUUACAGGAUGUGUGCGUGUAUUCGCAAAUUUAAACGAAUAAUUAAUUAUUUUUUAUUAUAUCUCGUUU